UUUUUAUAAGUUUUCCGCAAAACUUUUAUUUUUGUUGAGUUCGGUCACUGCCCAGUCGGCCAUAGCAAGUAAGGGCAACCCUGGAAGUAAUUCUCCUUUAAUUUGCGGAAGUAGUGCCAGUAAGUGUUACGGUAGGUAAUACCAUAGCAACCAAGCCCCAAUAGGAAACAGCCACAAGGCCCUUCGCUGAGCCUUCCGGCAGCCACGGAGGCGCUCUGGGCUGGGGCGGAAGCGGAGGGUGCACAAUCCCCGGGCCCUGCCGCCUUGUGUGACAACUGGGACAUAGAGCAUUGCAGAGGAAAACUUCGAGGGGCUGAGCGGAAAGAUUCUAAUUUGUCUAUGAGGCGAGCGGGAGUCAGUACCUCAGAGAAGGUGUGGACGUCACCUGGUGAAUGUGAGCUGGGCAGGCGGCCAGUUCAUGCCCCCCAGCAGGGUAUUUGGAUUGGAGUAACUGCUUUCUAAAUGUGCAUCUUGUUUAGCAAACAUUGAGCGCCUGCUGUGCUAGGGCUGAAGAAAAUAUGAAGAUGAAAAAGGAAUACACAACAGCCUGUGUUUGGAAUUAUCUGCUUUGAUUAAUGUUUACUGGGCGUCUACUGAAAAACCCCUGAAGACGACUCCUUUGCUCUUGGGUUGUUAAAAAAGAAGGAGAAGGAACAGGACCGAGGGAAGAAGAAGAAUGUCCCAUAGAGAGCUUAGAUGGCUCACCAAACCUAAAAUACUUACUAUCUAACUCUUUACAGAAAAAGUUUUCUUCUCUCACCUAAGCAAGACAACAGCCUCCCUACCGUUGUCUGUGCUUCC